CUGGAUGAUACCGAAAAGGAACUGGAGGAGGUGCAUGCUGAUCUUGUCAUAGUCAUGCAGGAACUUGAUUUGGCAAAAGCUGAGAGAGAAAAGAGGGUGAAAUAUCAUCUCUAUUACCCAAAGACAGGAUUAGCCAAUUAGGCAUACACGAAUCUCUGUGAACAGAUGGGAUGCAUCUGAAGGUGCUGAUGUAGCUGACUGAUAUCAUUGCAAGGCUGUUGUCAAACCUCUUCAGAAGAUCAUGAACUUUAAAGGAGGUUCUCAAUAACUGGGAAAAAAAAAAUAAAAAUGUCAGACUCAUCAUCAAAAACGGCAAGAAGAUCCAGGAAACUAUGAGCUGGUCUACCUAACCCCAGUGACUGGAUAAGUGAUGGAAUAAAUCCUCUUGGAAGCCAUUUUCAGAAAUGUGAAGAACAAAAUGGUAUUUGGGAAGAACCAACAUACAUUUAGCAUGCGCAAAUCAUGGCAGACCACCUUUAUAUGAUGAGAUGAGUGCUGCUGUUGUGGACAAAAGGGAGGGGCAGUGGAUGGUGUAUGCUUUGACUUUAACAAGGCCUUUUACACACUCCUAUAAAGCCUCCUUAUUAUCAAACUGGUGACAUAUACGCUGGAUAAACGGAAAACGAGUUAGAUGGAAAAUUGAUUGGACUGCCAAGCUCAAAGAACUAUGAUAAGUGGUGUAAAAUUUAUCUGGGGGUCAGUAGCAAGUGGCAUCCUUCAGGGAUCGGUACUGGGACUGUUCAGUGUCUGUCUACAUUAAUGGUCUCGAUAUUGGGACACAAUGCAUUCUCAGCAAGUUUGCCCAUGGUACCAAAUUUGGAGAAGCAGUUAAUACACUGGAGGACUGUUGUACAGAAUGACCUGGUCAGGCUGGAGAAAGGCAUUAACAGGAACCUCAUGAAGUUCAACACAAGCGUCAAGUCCUGUGCCAAGAGAGGAGUAAGCUCAUGCAACAGCAGAGGCUUGUGGUAGGCCAAGUGGCAGAAAAAAGAGCUUUGAAAAGUUGAUGGACAACAAGUUGAAUGCUAUUAAGCAGCAAGAAAGUCAGCUACAUACUGAGCAUUGUUAUCAAGAAUGUGGUUUACUGCUACAGGGCUUUGUGUUUCUUGGGCUUCCCCACCGCCCAAUGGAUAAAAACUACAACCAUCACUUCAGUAAAGACUGCUACCAUCACUUCGACCAAAGGACAUCAAAAUUACAACAACCAAGUCUUGCUGCUGGACUCACAGGUUCAAUUCCAGUCCUUCACCCCAGCUCCUCUUCCUCCUCACCAGCUGUCCCUGUUCCCGUACCCAGAGCAUCACAGUGUAUGGGGAAUGGGGUCGUACAGCCUGUCCAUGGCAGUUCCUCUCUGCUUCUCCCUCCUUCUCCCACUUUUCCCCCACUCCAGCAUGGAUCCUCUCCACAGUCUGCAGUCCUGCGUAAACAGCUCCAGUGUAGCUCCUCUGCAUCAGGUUGCAGUCCUUCAGGAAAAAAUCUGCUCUACUGUGGGUUGUCCACAGGCCGCAGUGUGGAUAUCUGCUCUGAUGUGGUCCUCCACCUGAACUGCAAAGAAGCACCUGCUCCACUGUAGUCUUGUCGAUGGAUUACAGGUGAAUCUCUGCUCCAGCUCCUGGAACAUAUCUCUCCUCAUUUUUCUCUGACCUGGGUUCUCAUGCUGUUGUUUCUACAGUUUCAGGGGGCUUUUUGUGUUUCGUUUUGGUUUGUUUUGAUUUAGUUUGGGGUUUUUGUUUCUCCUCCUCUGUUUGUCCAGUGCAUUGCCCUUUCCAAAGUAUAUUUUCCCGGAGUCAUCACCAGCCUUGCUGAUGUGCUCAACUGUGUCCUGGGGUGGGUCCAUUGGGACCAUCUGGAACCAGCUGUGUCCAGCAUGGGACAGCCCUGGCCUCCCCUCACAGAGCCCACCCUGGAGCCCCUGCUGCCAACAUAUUGCCAUGGACACCCAAAACACCUCAGAGUUCACAAAUCCUAGAAGCUGAACUGCCAUGACUCUUCAAAGAUUUUGGUGUUAAUUUUGACCAGCUGAAAAUUCUAUGUGUCACUUUCACAACUUUAUUUGAAACAACUUUCAGGACACAAAACUUAUAGGAUUUAUUUGUCUUGAUCACAAUGAAGAGUUGUUAUUUAAUCUUUGUACUGCUAACAUUGUCUAUGGUUGAUGUCAUCAAGAUAUAGUUCUCAGCUGGUGUUUGAAUAGCCUCAUAUGAACUACUGAAAUUGUUCUUAAAAAACCCCCACAUUUAUGGACUGAUUACUUUUUUUUUUUUUUUAAUAGGACAUUAAUUUGUUCAUAAAUCUAAUUUUCAGAAGUUAUGAGUAACCAGUACAUUGCUUAGUGGGAGUGAUAAGUACCAAACUCCGAGUGACCAAUGUCACAUGGUUUGUUAAGGAUACAGAAGAGGAAACUGAGGGGAGAUCUCAUUGCAGUCUUCAACAUCCUGACAAGGGAAUGCGGACUGUCAAGUACAUACUGACUAAUACCAGUGUGUUCUAGGCAUAGCAAAGGAAUAUCUUCACCAAUUUUCUGCCUGCAGCCUUUCCAAAGGCUUUAUCUUUCUCUCAUUAAUUUCUUCAAAGCCAUUCCUCAGAUUUUUGCCUACCUAUCUUUUAUAAUUAAUUUCUGACUGUUAUUUUGUUUUCCUGUUUCCCCAUGGUUUGCCUCAUCUCUGUAUUUUGUUUUUUUAGAGUAGCCAUGCAUCACUUAGCAUUGCCUAAAGUUAGGGUGAAAAUCUUGUACUAUUUCUGAACACCAGCAGUGACGUUCUUUAGAAAGGUAUGUUGUUAUACUAUAGUGUAAAACUUCCUUAUGUAUGCGUUAAAAUGUAUAUAAACUCCUUGGCUGCCUCUGGGCUGAUUUAUAUGUGAAUUCCCUGACCUUAAUAGAACACAAUUUUUUCCUUUUACUUUGUUUUAUCUUCAUAAGGUAAAAUCAAUUCCCAUCACCACUUAACAUUAAGACUUCUAUUUAACUGUCCAUGUUUUUAGCAAACAUAGUGCAUAUCUUAUAUUUAAAUAUGACGUAUAAAAUGCCCACUUCAUAAAUCAAAUUAAAAGAUAAUACCGUAUUUGUUUCUUGUAAAAUUAUUCAAAUUUGUAGUAUGUCUGUGAAAUUAUUUAUUUGUUUACAUCAUUCCAAACAAUUUUAUUCUGAUACAAAAGAAUAUAAAAGAGAGAGAUUUUUGUUUUGGUUUGAUUUUUUUUUUUCAGAGUUAGGAAAACUAUAGCAAAACUACUGGGUUUGUUUGCUUUCCAAUUUUGUUUUGUGGUGGGAGCCUGUACUGAGUUCCAGGCACCACCAGUCAUUUCAUGGGUGCUUCCAGCUUGAGGUAGAAUUGUUAUUUAACAGAGGUAUGGACAGAGAAAAAAUGAUAGAUUAAGAAGCUAAAAGUCUAAUUUUAAAAAAGUUAUUUAUAUUUUAUACCAGCUUAAACUAGUGUGGUUAAUUAAUAUUAUCUUAAAGCAAUGGGAUUUCAUAUUUUAUUUUUUGCUAAUAAUUUAUAAUUGAAAUAAAAUUACUUUUGGACUUCCUAAUGAUGAGCUACCAUAAAAUAAGGAAAUCCUUAUAUACAUAUAAUUAGGUUAUAGAUUUUGACCUUGGUAUCUGUGCAUUUGUACAGCAGAUCACAUAAUAGAAUCAUAAUUCUGAAUGAGGACAUUUAGGUACUGUUGUAAUAUAUGUUUAUGUUGGAAGUCUGAUCUAAGGUUUCCCUAACUUGUAUGAAUAUGUAUUAUGAUUUCCUAAUAUGUCUACUACUUAAAUAAUAAAACUUCUGUGUACAACCUGACAA